UCCCUGGUGGCUCAGAUGGUAAAGAAUCUGCCUGUGAUGCAGGAGACCUGGGUUCAAUCCCUGGGUUGGGAA
rnacentral:tRNA from 1 species